UAUGGAGUUGAGACAUAAGUAUAGAAGACUGUAAACGAUAAAUAAAUGAUGAUGUAAAUGUACAGGUAGAGUUCCGCAAUUGUAUUCUAGUGGGUUGUAGAUGAACUGUACUAGUGAUACAUAAUUGAAAUAAAUUAUUAGGCAUGUAUCCACAGUUAUGAAUAGUAAAUGAGAUUUGCAUAAUAUAGGCUUACUACGGGCUUCGGGGGCCUUAAGCCCACCCAGGUCCUAGUGCCGGUCCGAUCCAUGGAAAUGGGUCGUGACACACAUAAUGCCAUAGGAUGCCUUUCUAGUGGAAUAAAAAAUUUUUACAAAAUCAUAUCAAAUAAGGUAUCAACCUGUUCAACAAACGGAUUCACAACAAGAGCAGCCCUUCUCUUGACCACAAAAUUGAUAAAAACAACUGUGAUUGAGAGGAUACCAACUAAUUGGCAUCAAUGAAACACUAAUUAAACAGUUGAUAAUUACUAGAAUAGAUAGACAGUUACUAAAACAGCUAACUACUAUUAAAAUAACAAUUUUAUUGAAUAUGCCUUAAUUAUUAGAAUCAUGGGAUAAAUGGCUUGAUGCUAUUUAUUAAGGAGAAUAUUAAGAGCUAAACAUUUUUUAUUUUAAUGUAAAUUAUCAGUAUUUUAAUGGGUAUGUGCUUCUCUUUGUAGUUGCUACGGCAGUGCAGAGAAAGGGAGUGAUAGUCACCAUGGUUGACAAUAUGGCUAACAAUAAAUUUUUGGUUGAAAAUAGUUGGUGGAGCCUGGAGCGGGUCAACAGCGUUUUUUGGGGCAAUUUUCCUAAAUGGUGUAAAAAGGAAAAAGAAUUUCAAACGGUGUAUUAUUGACUUUUCAAAUACCCUAGGUUGCAUGGAUAUUGGAUUCCAUAUGGACACAUAAUGUGAUAAUUUAAAAAAAUAUAUAUAGGAUACAGAUAAAC
rnacentral:lncRNA from 1 species